GCGGAAACGUUUCGCUCGCUGUCAAAUCGGGACUUAGUGCAAUUUGAAUUCUGGUGGUCAGAGGAGUUGAAAUGGUGAAGCUAAACCGACGCUAAAGUGAACCCAGCGCGCCACGGAACUCGGUCCGGCUUGAAAGAUGCCCACGGCAAGCGCCUCGUCAUGGGUGAAGUUCUUCACCAAUGCCGGCGUCCCGUCGCAGGCGGCCGCCGAG